rnacentral:lncRNA from 1 species
AUGUGGGCCCUGCGCAGUUCCCCGUCAACGUCGCUGAGCCGGCGGUCGUCGUACGAGGGAGGACGGGCGACGCCAAACUCAGAGGCGUAUCUGCCAGACGGGGACUCUAGCAGGGCAGCGGCAGUGGUGUCCUCUGUGGAGGAGCAGGAAGUCCACCUCCGGGACCAGUGGGACGUGACUCUCUUCUCUCAAGAGUGGAGGAAGGGUGAGUCCUACUGGAGCGUAGAUGGCAUCCACUCUACAGGCGUGGCAAUACUUUUUGGGGACCGCGCCUUUGAGAAGGUAAGGCCUUUCAUCGUUCAUGCCGGCCAAGUGUUGGGGGUGGACAUCAUGUGGAGAAGUUUGCACAUACAUGUUCUGUGUGUCUACGCUCUGGUGAAGGUCAAGUCCCGCAUCGCUCUGUUUGACAAGUUGGUCCCUCAUUGUGUGACUGUUAGACAUCUAAUAAUAGGAGGAGACUUCAACAUUUUUCUUGAGGGCAAGGAUGAUGCUAGUAUUAAACAUUUUAAAAACUUUAUUAGCAGUUUUAACCUCACUGACAGUUUUAGAAAAUGCAACCCCACCAGUCUGCCAUUACCUGGCGCCACAGCCGCGGUGCCUGUAGUCGUUUAGAUUACAUUUUAGCAUUGCCCUCCGUUACUUUUAAGAAGGUUCUCUUAGCAGCCAAGUUGCUUACGGACCAUAUGAUGGUUGAGGCCAUGAUUUCCAUCUUGUCCCCGACCCAUGGCCAGGGCUACUGGAAGAUGAAUAUUGAAGUCCUCCAAGAAAAGGAGUAUAGAGACCUUUUUUAUGAGAAUUUUUUGUUGUGGCAGGAUUCCAUGGAUUUUUACCCCUUAGUGGCUGAUUGGUGGGAGGGGGUCAAGGUGAAGGCCAAGGCCCUCACCAUCAACUAUUGUAUCUGACAUGUCGCUUUGGGGCGUCAGGAUAUCAGCUUGCUCAAGGAGGAACUCCAGAGAAUUUAUUCUUGUCACAGUAACAGAGGGACCUUUGAUUAUGAUAGGGCCGUGGAGAUAAAGGCUACUUUGAGGCGGUUGCAUGAGUGGCAGGCCGAAGUCUUUCUGUUUGGCGCCAGAGUUAAGGAGGUAGAGGAGAACGAGAAGUCAGUGUACCUCCUACUUUUUUAA